CCCUUAGAUGUUCUGGGCCGCACGCGCGCUACACUGAUACGUUCAACGAGUCCAAAACCUUGAUUGAUAGGUCUGGGUAAUCUUUUGAAUACGUAUCGUGCUAGGGAUAGAUUAUUGCAAUUAUUAAUCUUGAACGAGGAAUGCCUAGUAAACGCAAGUCAUCAGCUUGCAUUGAUUACGUCCCUGCCCUUUGUACACACCGCCCGUCGCUCCUACCGAUUGAAUGUUCCGAUGAAUACCAUGGACUGAGAGUAUGAAUGGGUUCGCCUAUUUCUGCUUCUCGGGAAGUGGAGUAAAUCUUAACAUUUAGAGGAAGGAGAAGUCGUAACA
rnacentral:rRNA from 1 species